UACGUAGGUGGCAAGCGUUGUCCGGAUUCAUUGGGCGUAAAGCGCUUUAAGGCGGUUCGCUAAGUCGGGUGUGAAACCUCCAGGCUCAACCUGGAGACGCCACUCGAUACUGGCGUGACUAGAGUUCGGUAGGGGACCACGGAAUUCCUGGUGUAGCGGUGAAAUGCGCAGAUAUCAGGAGGAACACCAGUGGCGAAGGCGGUGGUCUGGGCCGAUACUGACGCUGUAGAGCGAAAGCGUGGGGAGCGAACAGG
rnacentral:rRNA from 1 species